rnacentral:rRNA from 1 species
UGAACGCUGGCGGCAUGCCUAAUACAUGCAAGUCGAACGAGGCACUUGUGCCUAGUGGCGAACGGGUGAGUAAUACAUAAGUAAUCUACCUUCUCAUGUGGGAUACCUGAUGGAAACAUGAGUUAAAACCACAUAGGUAAUUAAAUGGCAUCAUAGAAUUAUUAAAGGGGCUUCGGCUCUGGGAAAAGAUGAGCUUAUGGCGCAUUAGCUAGUUGGUAAGGUAAUGGCUUACCAAGGCGACGAUGCGUAGCCGGCCUGAGAGGGUGAACGGCCACACUGGGACUGAGACACGGCCCAGACUCCUACGGGAGGCAGCAGUAGGGAAUUUUCGGCAAUGGGGGGAACCCUGACCGAGCAAUGCCGCGUGAAGGAAGAAGGUUUUCGGAUUGUAAACUUCUGUUAUAUGGGAAGAAUAAAGUCUAUAGGAAAUGAUAGACCGAUGACNGUACCAUAUGAGAAAGCCACGGCUAACUACGUGCCAGCAGCCGCGGUAAUAUGUAGGUGGCACAACGCGAAGAACCUUACCAGNUCUUGACAUGGCGUUAAAGGCUCUAGAGAUAGAGAGAUAGUUAUAGCGCACACAGGUGGUGCAUGGUUGUCGUCAGCUCGUGUCGUGAGAUGUUGGGUUAAGUCCCGCAACGAGCGCAACCCUUAUCCUUAGUUACCAGCAGUAAGAUGGGGACUCUAAGGAGACAGCUAGCGAUAUGCUAGAGGAAGGUGGGGAUGACGUCAAAUCAUCAUGCCCCUUAUGACCUGGGCUACACACGUGCUACAAUGGACGGAGCAAAGCGAAGCGAUAUGGUGACAUGGAGCAAAACGCAUAAAACCGUUCUCAGUUCGGAUUGUAGUCUGCAACUCGACUACAUGAAGUUGGAAUCGCUAGUAAUCGUAGAUCAGCAUUGCUACGGUGAAUACGUUCUCGGGUCUUGUACACACUGCCCGUCAAACCANCGAGAGUUGAUAACACCCGAAGUCGGUGGCCUAACCGUAAGGAGGGAGCCGCCUAAGGUGGGAUUGAU